ACUCAAUUCAGCAGUGCUUGCCAUGAUUCAGAAAAGCUACAGGCACCUCAUCCUACCCUCUCUUCACCACAAGAAGCAUCAGCUCUACCCUCAAAAACUGAUCUCCAGCAAGGAAAGCUGCAUGCUAUGAUUUGUGAAGAGCUUGGCUUGUCAGUGAUAAACAAAUGGAUCCUCUCUAAAGGUAAUAUCAGAGACCUACUGCUUCAAUAAUGACAUUAUGCAGCAAGCACAGAAACAGCAGACACAGAAAAGGACACAAAUGUUAUAUUUUUAAGUAAAAUUUUUUUUACCACUAGAUGUCCCUGUUAGAAAACUAUAAUUCUACACAAAGCUGUGUGGGAAAAUCACCUGAAUUACUGUCAAAGCUGCCGGGACAGGCUUGUGAAACCUUCAAAAGUUGAAGUGCCUAAGUCACAGAAACAGUGAGUAUUGGAAGCAACCAUGGAAGACAAAGGUAAGGGUUUACCCUGUUCUUUCUGAGUACUGCUACCAGCUAAGGCACUGCACUGAGAUAUGUUAAAUGCUGUAUUAAGUAUCCUGCUGUAUUUCAGACAUGGAUUUACUGGGAGACCAAAUGGCAGGGAGGUGCAGUCCUCUCUUUAAAGCAGCCAGCAUAAGGCAGAUACUAGAAUUAAACAUGGUCACAAACACACCACUCCCUUUCCUACACCUGCCCUGAACAUCUCACCAGCUCAUUUUGACCACAAUUAGUUUGAACAAAGAUCACUGGGAAGGGAUGGAAACAAGUAUCAGAACUGAACCAACCUCACCUUCAAGUUUCUGGAUUCCCCACACAUCAACUAAUUUUAAGCUUGAAUUUUCUAAGAAGGAGCAUGGCACACCCCUAGUUUAAAGUUGGAGUGCAGACUUCUGUGCUGCUUUUCCCAACACAUUUGUUUUGUCACUACAUUAUUCAUGUUUGUUUCAGUUGUUCAGAUGGCUGCAGCUGAAACUCACCUGUCCCUACAAGCAGCCCAUGAACAAGGACAUCAGAGAGCAAUUAGCUCACUUUUGAAAGCUGCAACAUUUCCACAGUUUCAGUGAAUGGAAACGCAGCUCUCACUUGUCUGCUCCUGCCAGCUUUGAGACCCACCUGCUCCACUCCAGCCAGCCUUUGCUCCUCUUCUGUAAGACCACCCUGUGUCCCCUCCACUCCACUGUCACUGCUCAAGUGACCAAAUCAUCACCCUUUCAGGACACUAGAAGUGUCCCUGCUUUAACUCAUGCCCUGCUGCAGCCGGUUUUUGCUGAG